AACGACUCUCGGCAACGGAUAUCUCGGCUCUCGCAUCGAUGAAGAACGUAGCGAAAUGCGAUACUUGGUGUGAAUUGCAGAAUCCCGUGAACCAUCGAGUCUUUGAACGCAAGUUGCGCCCGAAGCCUCUAGGCCGAGGGCACGUCUGCCUGGGCGUCACGC
rnacentral:rRNA from 2 species